rnacentral:rRNA from 1 species
UACGUAGGGGGCUAGCGUUGUCCGGAAUCAUUGGGCGUAAAGAGCGCGUAGGCGGCCAGAUAAGUCCGGUGUGAAAGUCAAAGGCUCAACCUUUGAAUGCCGCUGGAAACUGUUUGGCUAGAGUCCGGAAGAGGAGAAUGGAAUUCCUGGUGUAGCGGUGAAAUGCGCAGAUAUCAGGAAGAACACCCGUGGCUAAGGCGGUUCUCUAGUACGGUACUGACGCUGAGACGCGAAAGCGUGGGGAGCGAACAGG